AUAAAAACGAAUGAAUGACCUCAUAUAAAGUCGGGAAUAUGGCCCGAAAGUUUCUACCCGAUAACCGUAAAUUAUUGGACUAUGAGGGAAAGUGAUCGUUGA
rnacentral:ncRNA from 2 species